GAACGCACAUUGCGCUCCCUGGUAUUCCGGGGAGCACGCCUGUUUGAGCAUCAGUAAACUCCAUCGACGUCACUUUCGGGUCGCAAGGCUCGAGGUUGACCGUCGGAUGUGAGACGUCUGCCUCCCAGCACGGGGCAGUGUCUCGAAAAUCAAUGUCACGAAAUCGUAGGACGCAGUCUCAGGUUUCAAGCGCAUGAAAGAGUGUUUCUGCACCCUAAAAUACGUUUGGAUUCGCCUUUGUAUUGUUUGAACUCGAGCUUGAGUGACCCAACCUUUUACAUCAGCGCACAGGGGGACGGUAGUCCCUCGCCGCACUGAACACUUGGUCUCAAAUCAGGUGGGAAAACCCGCUGAACUUAAG
rnacentral:misc_RNA from 1 species